rnacentral:rRNA from 1 species
AAUAUUGGACAAUGGGGGAAACCCUGAUCCAGCCAUGCCGCGUGUGUGAAGAAGGUCUUCGGGUUGUAAAUAACUUUUGGCAGGGAAGAAAAGGCGCCGGCUAAUACCUGGCGCUGCUGACGGUACCUGCAGAAUAAGCAUCGGCUAACUACGUGCCAGCAGCCGCGGUAAUACGUAGGGUGCAAGCGUUAAUCGGAAUUACUGGGCGUAAAGCGUGCGCAGGCGGUUCGGAAAGAAAGAUGUGAAAUCCCAGGGCUUAACCUUGGAACUGCAUUUUUAACUGCCGGGCUAGAGUAUGUCAGAGGGGGGUAGAAUUCCACGUGUAGCAGUGAAAUGCGUAGAGAUGUGGAGGAAUACCGAUGGCGAAGGCAGCCCCCUGGGAUAAUACUGACGCUCAUGCACGAAAGCGUGGGGAGCAAACAG